GCGAUGGUGGUAUAGUGGUGAGCAUAGCUGCCUUCCAAGCAGUUGACCCGGGUUCGAUUCGCAGGUAUCGUU
rnacentral:tRNA from 14 species